AUGGGAGUCAGCGGGCAAUGGGAGUCACCCUCAUAUCCACGAAACAGUACAUGCGAGCUACGCGUAAACAGCGCCCUUACCCCCCGCUCUGGCCCUCGGUGUAGCCUCGAACGGCUCGCGCCAGUCAGCGCCCGCGCCUCUGAGAAACGACCGUGUUUUGUUUUUGUACUCCGCUGAUGUAAUUUUACGUCAAUGCAAAUAAGAAGAUGCCGAAAGUACGAGUCA
rnacentral:misc_RNA from 1 species